ACCCCUCCGGCGGCUGCCUCCACCCAAGUGGGUGGGGACCCGCCCAGCCCGGGCGGCCACGGCGGCUCCCUCUCCCCUCCCUGACCCUCCCACCCCGGGUCCCAGCCUCUACUUACCCCGCCAGCCCUGGGAGGCUCGCAGAGCGAGCGGCGCCGGCGUCAUGUGACUGCCCGGAGUUGGUGCCAGGAGCCAGAGGGGAGCCAGGAGCGGAGCCGCGCGGAGCCGGGGCCCGAGCUGGAGCGCAGCGCGAGCGCCCGCCGAGCCGAGCCGCGCCCGUCGCACGCGCGCCAGUCCCCGUCCCCUGCGGCCGCCACCGCCAACGCCGCCGGGACUGGAGCGCUGACACCACUGCAUCCGCGCGUUUCCAGGCAGCCCGGAUCCGGGCCUUUAUUUCUCGCCUGCAGCGCUCAGCACCGCGCCUCGAAAAAAAUGAAGUUUUAAAAAAAAGGUUGGAAAAGAAAACGUUUGACAAGCUUCCCCCUUAAAUGUCUUAUUUGGGGAUUUUCUCUAAAAUUUAAAGGAAUCAAUGGAAAGAGUUGCUGAGGAAGCACAUCAGGCCCUACCUGUUCUUCCCCCAGUCGGUAAUAAUAAUAAUAAUGCUUUGGUUUUAACAUCUCUUCCCAUCACCUUUUUCUUUGAUAGAUAAAAGGGAAAUGCACAAUAUGCUAUUAAGAAAGCUACUAGAGUCAAAUAGGAUAUUGACAACCUUCCAAGAAAAAAGAUGGGAGUUUGGAAAGUUUCAAUAAGAUUUUUUCUUUCUUGUUUGGAGGAAGCAAACUUGAAAUACUAAGGUGCUUGUAGGACAAGAGGCCUUUAAACUAAAUUCAUAAGUAACCCAAAUUGAAGUAAGUUUUUUUGUUUUAGUUCCAAAGUUGUGAACAAUGCAACUAGAUUUGGUAGACUGAGUUUUUAUUUGGCUUACCCCAAAUCAUUCUUUCCUUCCUAUUUGUUGGGAGAGGGAAGUGGUUAAUAGAGAUGAUUAGGAUCUAAUAUAUUCUGUCAGGAAAAAUUCUGCAAGCUUUUAAAUGUAAGCUAAACAGUUGGGAAAAAUUGUACCAGUCUGAUAGUUAUUAUAAUUACCAAAAAAGUGAGGGAGGUGAACACAAUAGUUUCAUCUCUAAACCAUGUAAAUCAUUUGUCUCCAUUCCCCCACCUUUUUAGAUACUUGCCUUCUUAAUUUGUCCAAAUCAACAUUUCUGCUAUAAAAUGAACAGCUUUCUUAAGUGGUUCUUACUCUCUGUUUUCACACCCAGUUGUGUUUAAGAAAAAUAAAUACAGGCAACCUCAUCCCUUAAGUAUCAGGAAUUACAUUAUUCUGGAAAUUGGGUUUCUUUCUGAAGUGCUUCAGUUAUCAUUGGUUAUAGCUUAAAAAAAAAUCCUAGAGAUAUAAAACAAUUGAUAUCUGGUUUGCUAAUAUGUAGUAUUCCAGCCAAAACUCAUGAUGGAGUGAGUUGGAAGGGAAGGAUUAUGAUGGCUUUUAGCAUUCUCAUUUUCAAGCCUGAUCUGUCCCUUUCUUAGACCCCGUUUCUCAUCUGAAGCAGUAAUGCCAGAGCUCGAGACAGGAAACCAGACAGCAGUCUGCCCUGAUAAGAGAGGGCAUUGUCUAAGGAAGGUAGCCCUGCUUUCCCCUCCUCAAUUCUCCUUCCUUGAAAUUUAGUAGUAAUAAGAGACACAAUGCUAUAGACACAGUUUCUGAACCAGAACUAGGACUGUUUUUUCCCACAGCAAAUAUAUGUAUGUAUAUACAUAUACACACACACACACACAUAUAUAUAUAUAUAUAUAUAUACACACACACACACAUAUAUGUAUGUCUCUAUGUAUAUCCUUUUAACUGGCUCUGUGCUUUUUCUGGAAUGUCACCAUAGUUUAAUGGCACAUUAGAAAAAAUUAUCAGUAUAUUUUGUAUCUACUGGUCAGAGUAUUUAAUAGUAAGUUUCUUUCUCUAGCAAAGCAGGUUCCUAGAGCUAUUGGAAACUCAUUCCUUUGUGUUGGCAGGCCGAAUACAUUAUCACUUCCCCCAUCUCAUUAUUAAUGGGAGCUGGAGGCUGAAUGUAGUAAGCUAAGUGGCCCUUCGGCCCAUGCAUCCCGUGUAACCCUGGGUCUAGCUUUUACUCUCUUCCCGGAAGGGGGUGCUUCCUGAGACAGCCCCCUUCCAAGAGGACCCUGAAGGAGCCCAGCUUAACCUGGGACAUGCUUAAGAUGGUUGCCAAUCUCUAGAAGGCCUGGGGCUCUCCAGGGAUGGCCUGGAGCUACUCUCAACCCAGAUGAGUGGAGUUUGGUCAAAGCUAGGCAGAAGAGGUCCAGCAGACACUGAGGUCAGCGCCUUCUACCCUGGAGAGCGACCUAUGAUCCAGUGUGGGGUUUUUCUCCUUUGUCCCAUAUACUCUUCAUUCUCCUAACUACUGUUCUCUGAGUCUAAUCACUGAAAUCCACUCUUCUGUUUGUUCUUGCACUUUACACCCUGGUACCUUCCAAAGCUUUGCACCCCCAAACCGCUAACAUUAGGAAGUUCAAGUUCCUGUUCCACUUAGUUCUCCAGACAAGGGUGUUUUGUCUCCCAAGCCUCCUGAGUAAAGUUUUCACAUUUACUUUGCGUUUCAGGUUUUAGAAGAUGAUUUUAAGGCUAGCUGCACUGGCUCCUGGGCAGAUUUUCCUUGUGUGACCCCUGGUGUACAGUCACUCUGAGACCCUUGCCCUUCAUUUUAUUCUAGCAUGUAAGAAGGGUAG
rnacentral:lncRNA from 1 species